CAGAAGAGUUUAAAAUGGUAGAAGCUUUCAGAGAAAGCCAUUGCCAUUUGCCAGUUCCAUUUCCACUAGUUGCUUUAUGAUUUUCUUUCAUUUUCCAUCUAACCAAACAAAGGUUUUUUUUUUUUUUUUUGUAAUUUAUUAUCGAAAAAGAAAGAUUAAGACGAUAUUCCCAUGGCAAUGGGGUUAGAAGACUUGGAGCCGAUCUUCGGCGAGCCUAGGGUUGAGUGUCCGGGUAAUCAUUCGGUGGAGUCGCCUCCAUUCCUGUUCCAUGUUCACGCCUCUGAUCCUUCUCAUCUGGCCAUCCACGUCACCGAUUUCCACUCCAACACCUGGGAGGCCCUACGCUCUGUUCAUCAGCUCGAAGAUAUGAGGGAUGACAUUGGAAUAGGAGACUCUUGGUCUGAGUUUAUGGACUAUAUCAUGGCUUCCUUAAAAUCUCGAGAAGUGAAGCUUAUUCUUGAUGGGCAUUUGAACUCGGACGGCGGUGCUGCACAUGCAAAAUUAGUUGCUCAGAAAAUAAAAGUAAUGCCGGUGAUCGCCAUUUCUCUCACAAAACUUACAGGUUCUGUUGCUAGUUCGGCUAUGGCAAAUCUGUCUCUUCAGCUCUUCAAAGCAUUUAAAAGCACCCAGCAAGAGUGCUCUAUUCAGUUACAGAAGGUGACAUCAACUGAGAGGGAAAGGAGUGAGAGCAACCAGAGCCAAUUGGAGCAGUUCUCCAAGAGGCAAAAGUUGCAGAUGACUAAUUCCUCUGACAAAUUUGGUGUUUCUGCAUCACUGAAUAGUGGCUUGCAGUCUCCAGAAAAACAAGCAGCUCGAGACACUGGGUCAACAAGAGUUGCCAGCCGUGUUGUGCCCGCAUAUCGAAGGGCAAGAGUACGAGGCGUCCUUCUGCACGAUACUGAAGAUAAUGAUGACAGAAAAAAGCAAUGAUAUCUGAUGAUGUGAAUCACUAUGUUCUGUAGAUAAAAAGAGAAUGUAGGUUUAUGUUUUUGACAUAGGUUGACUAAAACAAUAGGAAGAAAAAGAAAAUGGAAGGGUUUCAUUUAAUCUUCACUCUUUUGAUUGAUGGUUAUUUAUGAAAAUGAGAUUGUUGCAUUGAUGCAAAUCUUCAUUCUAACUGAUGUUUCAGUAGGACAACCAGUCUAUUUUGUGAAGGAACAGUUUCAGAUAACAUGAGACCGAGGGUUAAAAAUAUCCAUAUUGACACAUUUAUGAGCAAAAGCAGCAUUGUUUGUGUCAUCGUGUUUAAUGUUCAUUGAUACCUCAUUGCAAAAUGCUUUUUCGCUGGCUCCGCCAUGGACUUGGGAAGGGAUGUAAACAAUUUCAGAUUUGAAGCUUUUGGGAGAAAAUCUAGCGAGAGAAUUUGAAUUUGAAAUGACUUGUUACUUGAGAACGUUAUGCAUUUUACAAGUCUUACUCGGGAAGAAUAUUUCAUUUCUGUUAAACAAUGUUUGCUCAAAGCAUAGAGAUUCUGUCUUAUUUCCUACCAGCUGACAAUUUACUACUCUCUAACAUGGAUUUGCUUUGCUGCCAGCAUAUUUAUUGUCAUCACUUUCUAUGGCUGUAAUUGCAAAUAAGCCAGGCUAAAGUUUCAAGGGAUUCAACUCAAUAAAGUGAUUCAAUUAUUUUUCAUGUAACGUCUAACAAAUUGUUUUAUUCGACAUAAUUCCAAGACACGGCUCAACUCCACCCCUGCAAGCUCUUGUCUGGAUUGAUGGUUUAACACUUAAUUUCCCGUUCGGAAGAUGCAAUCUUUCUCCCUCAUGCUUUUGCUUUUUUUGCAAGUGAAAAAGGGCCAGCAACCAGGUACGAAAUCGCUUUCACCAGAAUAUCUGCAUGAUACAGUCAAGGUAGAAUCCAUUUAGUUUUCUGUGAAUGGAUUUAGUCAAAUACCUUAAUUAUAAUAGUAUUAGAACAUAAGUUAUCAACCAAAUUUACAUGUUUUAUGAAAUUAUGAUGAUUUCUUCUUGGGUUAAGUCACCCCUUAUUUUCUAAAAGCACUUAUUCUUACUUGGUGCAAUAGCUCUGUCUUAUAUUCUUUCAUACAACCAUUAAUCACUGCAUUUGACA